CUUAAUUAGACUCACCUGUUUAUUGUUCCACUGAUCGCUGCUCCAAGUACCUGUGCUUUUUCUUCCACUCAGUACUGGCUGGAUUUUGGUUUGGGUUCCACUGCUGCCAAUGUUCCUUCUUUAUCAGUUUAAAAGAACCAGAGUUGUCAGAAGAGAUCUGUAAGGAUUUACACUGAGCAACUGACACGGUGAAUGACGAGUGCUAUGAUACGGAGGUGAAGAUGGCCGAGAAUGAGAACGAGUACCAAGAAACCCACCAACCCUUUGAAGAUCAAAUGCAAUCCUCUCAUCAUAAUCCUCCUAAGAUUAUAUCCAUUACCAUCUUCAGCCACACCAAAGUGGAAUUAUGAUCUCUCACGCACUGGCUGAACUCCACAGGAAUCGCAGAGAUUGGUGUGAAAACCUAGUCACCUGGUGGUUAUCACUUUGCUGCAGUUCUCUAACAAUACACAUAGUUACAUUAUCACCUCACUCUGACGUGGAUUUAGCUUCAUUUCAAUUGAUUUUGGACUGCUAGAUGUAUUGUAGGUGCAUAAAUAAGGGCUGCAGGACCCAGAAGGGAAGCCACGGCAACACGUUUAGGUCCAUUUGAUUGAAAGACGAGCUGUAGGUUUUAGGACUUGUUUCUCUGUGGAUGAGGACCCACUCUUACCAUCUUUAAGCCUGUGGUUUUUGUUCUGGAGUCACUUUGUACCAAAACAUGUUAAUCUCUGGGACACAAAACCUGUAUUUACCCUGAAUGGAAUGAUGGUUGAACGUUCCUAUGGUGUUUAUACUUGUAGAGGUAACAUUGUCUUGAUUUGUUCACGAUGUCCCACAAGGAGGUGCCUGUAUUUAACUUAAAUGUAGUUAAAAGGCUACAUACUGUAGGUAAAAAGGCAGUUGUGCUGAAAUACUAAAGAAAUAUAUGUAAAAUUCUGAAUAUAAGGAGUGAUGAAAAGUACUCAUUAUUCUGGUGUUUUAGCAAAUAGAAAAAAAGUUGUUAUCCUAACUGAUUCCCAACUGGUUCCAAUUAAUAAACUAUUAUUGCAGGUAGCUAAGCUUCUGUACGUCAAAGAGCAGUACACAUUAACCCCAGUAUAUACACAAAUAAACACAGAUGAUUACCUCGUGUCAUUUUGGUGGUGUUUUUAUACUGAACAGAUGGCCUUGAUGCAAACAUUUCACUCAGCGUUACAUUUGCCCUGACUUUGACUCUCAUGGAAAUUAUUUACAACAUCUAUCGUCCCCUGCUGCUAUCUCCUGUGUCUCAAACAAAAAUGAAGUAAGCCGUGGCAAAAAUCAUUUAGUCAUAAAUGUCACUGCUCCGUCCAGAUUCUGAUAUAUGUUUCUCUUUAUGGUUGUUGACGCAGCAGUGCUGGGUAUCAUGGGAACGGUUAGGCUGAACAUCUGUAAUAGCAGGUGCCAAUUAUUUCCCAUUGAAAGGCCGUCUUUUACACAUCCUUCUUUGCUGUGUCCCAAAGCUUAAUUUUUAGGCUCACUUUAUUUCCUACAUUCCAUUGUUUUAUGACCAGUUACCAUCAUGGUUUCUAUGAAAUCAAAGUAUAUUUGCAGUUGAUGUCAACAGCUAGUUCUGAUAUCUCAGAUAAUACUUUAUUUUCUUGUUUUUUACAAGUCAUUCCAUUUGUAAACUGUGUAUUUGGAAAGUUUUUUUCGUCCGACAAAGGAUUUUGGUUGUAAUUUUCAAGCCUGAAGCAAUAAAUAAUUUCUACUGAUGCAUUUUUA